GCCCUAUUAGUGUAAUGGCAACAUCUCAGAUUCUCAAUCUGAAGUCGACGGAUCGUAACCGUCAUAGGGUAC
rnacentral:tRNA from 1 species